CCUACGGGAGGCAGCAGUGAGGAAUCUUGCGCAAUGGGCGAAAGCCUGACGCAGCGACGCCGCGUGUGGGAUGACGGCCUUCGGGUUGUAAACCUCUUUCAGUACCGACGAAGCGAGAGUGACGGUAGGUACAGAAGAAGGACCGGCCAACUACGUACCAGCAGCCGCGGUAAU
rnacentral:rRNA from 1 species